rnacentral:rRNA from 1 species
CGCCUCUUGAUUCCUAUAAGAGGUCUAGCCUGCCCAAUGAUUCAUUAAAUGGCCGCGGUACCCUAACCGUGCGAAGGUAGCAUAAUCACUUGUUCGUUAAAUCCGGACUAGUAUGAACGGCUCCACGAGGGUCAUACUGUCUCCCUACUUUAAUCAAUUAAACUAAUCUCCCCGUGAAGAAGCGGGGAUAAAAAUAUAAGACGAGAAGACCCCAUGGAGCUUAAAACCCAGAACCAAUUACUAACACUUUCCAUAAAAACACUGUAUACCUGGCUUCUGGUUUUUGGUUGGGGCGACCACGGAGUAAAACACAACCUCCACGAUGAAAACACUUUACUUAAGAGCUACACCUCUAAAGAUCCUAAAUACGACAUUUCUUGACCCAAGACCACUUGAUCAACGAACCUAGUUACCCUGGGGAUAACAGCGCAAUCCAUUUCAAGAGCCCCUAUCGACAAAUGGGUUUACGACCUCGAUGUUGGAUCAGGGCAUCCCAGUGGUGCAACCGCUACUAAAGGUUUGUUUGUUCAACAAUUAAAGCCCU